rnacentral:rRNA from 1 species
UGCGCAGGCGGUUUUGUAAGUCUGUCGUGAAAUCCCCGGGCUCAACCUGGGAAUUGCGAUGGAGACUGCAAGGCUAGAAUCUGGCAGAGGGGGGUAGGAAUUCCACGUGUAGCAGUGAAAUGCGUAGAGAUGUGGAGGAACACCGAUGGCGAAGGCAGCCCCCUCGGGUCAAGAUUGACGCUCAUGCACGAAAGCGUGGGGAGCAAACG